GGUGGAGGAGGGUCUGCUUUAGACUGAGUUCUUUUUGGUUCAGGCUUGUGGGUUGUGCUGGGCAUCACAGACAGGCUUACAAUUUGAGACUGACGAAAGCAAGGAAGGAGAAAGGAACAGGAAAACACAAGUGGAAGGGAUGUGGGAGGAGCCAGGCUGGGAGUCCCGUUAUUGUCCCUGAGAGUUGUCCUUUCAGGCACUGCCAGCAGUGAUGAGCGGGGUGAGGGUGGCUGGCGCGGCCCAGUGCUAUUCUGCCACAGCCAACGGCUGCAGUACAUGCUGACCAUCAGCAAUCCCAGACAUAGAAUCUGCUCUUCUUCAGACCACGACCUUGUAAAACCUAGGUGGCUCCAGACACCCUCCUACUCCAGAAGUGCAUGCUUUCUGUAGGCAGUGACCCAUCUCAGGUCAAUUACCGGCACUCAUUACGCUCAAUGCUUCUGAUCAAUCUUUCUGUUUUUUACUCUUGGGAACUUGGAUCCAGCCCACUCUCACCCCCACAAGACAUCUGAGGAUAGCCAGGAGUCUGAAGGCCCCAAUUUGAAAAACACACAGUCUGGUAUGGUCC
rnacentral:lncRNA from 10 species